GCUAGGCCGAGGAGGAGUCGCCCGCUGCCCAAAGGGUUUUAGCGAACUGCGCCCGCCCCCACCAGGACGGGAGUCGGCACCCCCAGGCUGGGCGCAGUCUCCGGGGUUCCUUCCGGUUCACACCCUCUGUCACUCCGAGAUCCUCUGGGCUCCAGAGCGAGGAACCCUGGGUCUUUGUACACGUGUCUGUUUAAGCAGUUGCGUUGCAAAUUUACAUAUAUCUGCAUGUCAUUAACAUAGAGGCGGAGCCGGAACUUGUUUGGGCAACUAUCCCUGGACAGUUCUCCUGGCUUUGCUUUCAUCCCGUCCGAUGGCCACCUGGACUGCGCAUGCCUCCAGACAUGGCAGGAGAAACUUCCAGAUGUCAGGGCAGACCGGAUUCCAGCCGUGAGAUGAGAAAUAUUGGCCAGACCAGGGUCUUCCAUCUGCUCUAAAGAAAUGGACCUGAAGGUUCUUCUGAUCUGAAUGAAGUUCCCAUGGAAACCCCUCAGACUGGGAAGCUGAGGCAGGAGAAUGCUAUCUUAGUGUUACUGUUGCUGUAAUGAAACCAUCAUGGCCAAAAGC
rnacentral:lncRNA from 1 species